AGUGGCAGACGGGUGAGUAAUGUAUAGGAAUCUACCUAGUAGUACGGAAUAAUUGUUGGAAACGGCAACUAAUACCGUAUACGCCCUACGGGGGAAAGAUUUAUCGCUAUUAGAUGAGCCUAUAUUAGAUUAGCUAGUUGGUAAGGUAAUGGCUUACCAAGGCAAUGAUCUAUAGCUGAUCUGAGAGGAUGAUCAGCCACACUGGAACUGAGAUACGGUCCAGACUCCUACGGGAGGCAGCAGUGGGGAAUAUUGGACAAUGGGCGAAAGCCUGAUCCAGCCAUGCCGCAUGAGUGAAGAAGGCCUUUGGGUUGUAAAGCUCUUUCGGUGAGGAAGAUAAUGACGGUACUCACAGAAGAAGUCCUGGCUAACUCCGUGCCAGCAGCCGCGGUAAUACGGAGAGGGCUAGCGUUAUUCGGAAUUAUUGGGCGUAAAGAGCGCGUAGGCUGGUUAGUAAGUUAAAAGUGAAAUCCCAAAGCUCAACUUUGGAAUUGCUUUUAAAACUGCUAACCUAGAGAUUGAAAGAGGAUAGAGGAAUUCCUAGUGUAGAGGUGAAAUUCGUAAAUAUUAGGAGGAACACCAGUGGC
rnacentral:rRNA from 1 species